rnacentral:misc_RNA from 1 species
AAACUACCUCCUACAGAUAAGACAAGAAACAGGCUUGAGAAUGGUAGAGAAGGUGUUCGAGCAAGACGAUAAGCCAAGCAAGUGGUGGCUGUGUUUUGCCAAAAGAAAGUUUAUGGAGAAAAGUCUCUCCUCCCCUGGAAUGUGAAUCAAGAGACUUAUUAUCCAGUAACUGGAUUUAUUGAUAUGAAUAAAAUGUUAUCUUUUUAAUUUGUACAUGUAUGAAUGUGUGUAUGGUUCCCUUCAGAGUUAGCAAAAAGUAUAAACAUUGUAUAUUUCACAAUAUUCAUACCAUACAUCUUUCAGUUAAUGUAUCAUUGUUCUUUGUCAAACUUGAAGUCAUGAGUAUUUAAAAGUGAUGCAUGAAUAAUAUUGUAAUAAAAUAUUUGAUAACAUG